rnacentral:rRNA from 1 species
AUGCCAGACCAGCAUCAAGGGCACCUGAAAGAAGUUGACUGCAGUGGCAGGAGGCAUAUGACUGAUUCCACCGAGCAGCACGGGCAUAUUGACAAGCAAGAUCCAUUUUUGGCCUGGGAAUGCCUUGUGUGCAAGCCAGACAAGGAGGGGAGCAAUGGCACCGCCCAAAAAGAACCAGUUCACAGCAGAGGACAGGUCCAAGGGCUGCCUGCUGGGAGGAGCUCGGUGUUGCAUAUAUUUGGGAUUGUGUCCAUCAUCCACCAUGCUGUUCCAAGAUUCAGAGAUAAUUACCUGAAGAGGGAGACCUGCACAAGGUUGGACGGCCACCACAUCGCCGCCGGCUCCACGAGAUACCGCCGGAAUAUGCCCGCCCACCCGAACCCCAGCACCUACAUGCAUGGCCAAGUCGAGCAGAGCACCACUUCAUUCAUGCUCCACUCCACCACUGAAGGCACCUUGCAUAUCAAGCUAUGA